GACGUAGGUGGCUAACGUUAUCCGGAUUUACUGGGCGUAAAGCGUGCGUAGGCGGCCAUGUAAGUCAGAUGUAAAAUCUCCUGGCUCAACUGGGAGGGACCAUCUGAUACUGUGUGGCUAGAGUACAGCAGAGGAAAGUGGAAUUCCCGGUGUAGUGGUGGAAUGCGUAGAUAUCGGGAGGAACACCAGUGGCGAAAGCGGCUUUCUGGGCUGUUACUGACGCUGUUGCACAAAAGCGUGGGGAGCAAACAGG
rnacentral:rRNA from 1 species